rnacentral:rRNA from 1 species
GUGUCUGGUGGGUAGUUUGACUGGGGCGGUCUCCUCCUAAAGAGUAACGGAGGAGCACGAAGGUUGGCUAAUCCUGGUCGGACAUCAGGAGGUUAGUGCAAUGGCAUAAGCCAGCUUGACUGCGAGCGUGACGGCGCGAGCAGGUGCGAAAGCAGGUCAUAGUGAUCCGGUGGUUCUGAAUGGAAGGGCCAUCGCUCAACGGAUAAAAGGUACUCCGGGGAUAACAGGCUGAUACCGCCCAAGAGUUCAUAUCGACGGCGGUGUUUGGCACCUCGAUGUCGGCUCAUCACAUCCUGGGGCUGAAGUAGGUCCCAAGGGUAUGGCUGUUCGCCAUUUAAAGUGGUACGCGAGCUGGGUUUAGAACGUCGUGAGACAGUUCGGUCCCUAUCUGCCGUGGGCGCUGGAGAACUGAGGGGGGCUGCUCCUAGUACGAGAGGACCGGAGUGGACGCAUCACUGGUGUUCGGGUUGUCAUGCCAAUGGCACUGCCCGGUAGCUAAAUGCGGAAGAGAUAAGUGCUGAAAGCAUCUAAGCACGAAACUUGCCCCGAGAUGAGUUCUCCCUGAGACUUAGAGUCUCCUGAAGGAACGUUGAAGACGACGACGUUGAUAGGCCGGGUGUGUAAGCGCAGCGAUGCGUUGAGCUAACCGGUACUAAUGAACCGUGAGG